AUUGAACGCUGGCGGCAGGCCUAACACAUGCAAGUCGAACGAGUGGCGGACGGGUGAGUAAUGUCUGGGAAACUGCCUGAUGGAGGGGGAUAACUACUGGAAACGGUAGCUAAUACCGCAUACCAUCGGAUGUGCCCAGAUGGGAUUGGCUAGUAGGUGGGGUAAAGGCUCACCUAGGCGACGAUCCCUAGCUGGUCUGAGAGGAUGACCAGCAAAACGGGAACUGGGACACGGUCCAGACUCCAACGGGAGGCAGAGGUGGGGAAUAUUGCACAAGGGGGGAAAGCCUGAUGCAGCCAGGCCGCGUGUAUGAAGAGGGCUUUCGGGUUGUAAAGUACUUUCAGCGGGGAGGCGUUACCCGAAGAAGAAGCACCGGCUAACUCCGGGCCAGCAGCCGCGUAAUUC
rnacentral:rRNA from 1 species